UUAUAAACUCCGCCUGUAGCGGUUUUAGAGUUACUGCCGGUCCCAAGCCCGGGUAAAGGAGGAGGGUUGG
rnacentral:ribozyme from 2 species